UACGGAGGGGACUAGCGUUGUUCGGAAUUACUGGGCGUAAAGCGCGCGUAGGCGGAUUUGUAAGUCGGGGGUGAAAUCCCGGGGCUCAACCUCGGAACUGCCUUCGAUACUGCAAAUCUCGAGUCCGGAAGAGGUGAGUGGAAUUCCUAGUGUAGAGGUGAAAUUCGUAGAUAUUAGGAAGAACACCAGUGGCGAAGGCGGCUCACUGGUCCGGUACUGACGCUGAGGCGCGAAAGCGUGGGGGAGCAAACAGG
rnacentral:rRNA from 1 species